UACGUAGGGUCCAAACGUUGUUCGGAAUUAUUGGGCGUAAAGGGUACGUAGGUGGUCAGAAAAGUUAGUGGUGAAAUUCCGGGGCCUAACUCCGGGACUGCCAUUAAAACUCUCUGACUUGAGUCACUUAUAUAGGUAGCAGGAAUUCCUAGUGUAGGAGUGAAAUCUGUAGAUAUUAGGAGGAACACCAAUGGCGAAGGCAAGCUGCUGGGUAGUGACUGACACUGAGGUACGAAAGCCAGGGUAGCGAAUGGG
rnacentral:rRNA from 1 species